rnacentral:rRNA from 1 species
GGUGCUAACGUCCGUCGUGAAGAGGGAAACAACCCAGACCGCCAGCUAAGGUCCCAAAGUCAUGGUUAAGUGGGAAACGAUGUGGGAAGGCCCAGACAGCCAGGAUGUUGGCUUAGAAGCAGCCAUCAUUUAAAGAAAGCGUAAUAGCUCACUGGUCGAGUCGGCCUGCGCGGAAGAUGUAACGGGGCUAAACCAUGCACCGAAGCUGCGGCAGCGAACGUAUCACCCAAGACAACUUUACGGAGUUGACGAUUGACGGAGCGAAGCGACGUCAAAGCGUUCAUUAAAGUCGAGUUGGCUUAGGGAUACGUUCGUUGGGUAGGGGAGCGUUCUGUAAGCCGUUGAAGGUGGCCUGUGAGGGUUGCUGGAGGUAUCAGAAGUGCGAAUGCUGACAUAAGUAACGAUAAAGCGGGUGAAAAGCCCGCUCGCCGGAAGACCAAGGGUUCCUGUCCAACGUUAAUCGGGGCAGGGUGAGUCGACCCCUAAGGCGAGGCCGAAAGGCGUAGUCGAUGGGAAACGGGUUAAUAUUCCCGUACUUGGUGUUACUGCGAAGGGGGGACGGAGAAGGCUAUGUUGGCCGGGCGACGGUUGUCCCGGUUUAAGCGUGUAGGUGUGUGUUCCAGGUAAAUCCGGUUCACUUUAACACUGAGGCGUGACGACGAGGCACUACGGUGCUGAAGCAACAAAUGCCCUGCUUCCAGGAAAAGCCUCUAAGCAUCAGGUAACAUCAAAUCGUACCCCAAACCGACACAGGUGGUCAGGUAGAGAAUACCAAGGCGCUUGAGAGAACUCGGGUGAAGGAACUAGGCAAAAUGGUGCCGUAACUUCGGGAGAAGGCACGCUGACACGUAGGUGAAGUGAUUUACUCAUGGAGCUGAAGUCAGUCGAAGAUACCAGCUGGCUGCAACUGUUUAUUAAAAACACAGCACUGUGCAAACACGAAAGUGGACGUAUACGGUGUGACGCCUGCCCGGUGCCGGAAGGUUAAUUGAUGGGGUCAGCGCAAGCGAAGCUCCUGAUCGAAGCCCCGGUAAACGGCGGCCGUAACUAUAACGGUCCUAAGGUAGCGAAAUUCCUUGUCGGGUAAGUUCCGACCUGCACGAAUGGCGUAAUGAUGGCCAGGCUGUCUCCACCCGAGACUCAGUGAAAUUGAACUCGCUGUGAAGAUGCAGUGUACCCGCGGCAAGACGGAAAGACCCCGUGAACCUUUACUAUAGCUUGACACUGAACAUUGAGCCUUGAUGUGUAG